rnacentral:rRNA from 1 species
UACGUAGGGUCGAGACGUUGUCCGGAAUUACUGGGCGUAAAGAGCUCGUAGGUGGUUUGUCGCGUUGUUCGUGAAAACUCACAGCUCAACUGUGGGCGUGCGGGCGAUACGGGCAGACUGAGUACUGCAGGGGAGACUGGAAUUCCUGGUGUAGCGGUGGAAUGCGCAGAUAUCAGGAGGAACACCGGUGGCGAAGGCGGGUCUCUGGGCAGUAACUGACGCUGAGGAGCGAAAGCGUGGGGAGCAAACAG